ensembl:lncRNA
CAAACUCUGGUUCCCUGGAAGAGCAGUGUGUGAUCUUCACCACCCAGUCAUGUCUAAGCCAAAGGGUCAGCAACCCCAGCCAAGGACACUCCAGUACCAAGGAUGCUCUGGAACUCUCCAUCACAACACAGCAUGCAGCUUCUGAAUGCCAUCAGCAAAGGCUUGACUUACCUCUUCACACUUGGUUUGUGCAUUUUGUUACCAAGCUGAGCGCCUGGCAGGUGGGUGAGUGUAACUAUAGAGGUAUGGAUACUUUUCUCCCUAACGGAUAAAGUUUAUUUAUAAGAGUGCUCUAUAGCUACAACAACCCACAGGCUGGACUGGAAUUCUACACCCUCCUGCCUCAGCCUCUCUAGGGCUAGAAGAAUAUACCCAACUCAGAAGCUAAAUCUUUGUGUGGUAAAGGGAACAUAUAUGUUCAUUCAAGUAAGCACAUGGGUGUGUGCAUGUGGAGGCCAGACGGCAGCCCUGAGUGUCAUCAUCUAUCUUUUUUUUUUAAUUGUUUGGGAGAUUCAACACAAGCAUGAACACCAAGGUCAGAGGAUACUUUGUGGAGGUCAGAUUUCUUCUACAUUUAUGUUGGUGCUGGGUGUCGAACUCAAGUUCCCAGGCUUGAACAAAUUCCUUUGCCCAGUGAGUCAUUUCACUGGCCCCAUCCACCUUAAUUUUUGAGAUGGGGUUUCUCAUUGUACCUGAACUCAUAGAGUGGCUGGCCAGUCAGAGAAUUCCAGAAACUCACCUGUCUCGGCCUUCCCCAAUACUGGAAUUAAAGAAGAUGCCACUGAUGGAGUAGGAGGAGCCCUGUCAUUUAAGUGAUGGUUGAGAAUGACUUUUGAAAAGAGGGUGAGCCCCUAUAGUAAUUGAAGCAAGGAACAGGCUACAUUCCAUGACUCACAAUAACCAGCCCCGGUGAUGACCAAUAAGAACCACCCUGCAAGAGAGCUCAAGCAGAGAUCAGAGCUGGCCCUGGUGCAAAUGUGAUGAAAGCAUCACAUGACAAACAGAAACCCAUGCACACAGGGCUUCUACCAGCCCAGCUCCUGGCUACAGAAACCAGUGCACACAGAGCUUCUGCCAGCCCGGAUCCCAGCUACAGUCCUGCUUUGAGCCAGCUCCCCAAGAAACCCAUGCACUCAGGGCUUCUGCCAGCCCAGCUCCUGGCUACAGUCCUGCUUCUAGCCAGCUCCCAGAUGGUCCUUGACUCUUUGGAUGAGAGAAGGGAAGAAUGAAGAUUCACCAGAGACACUGAAACCUGAGAAGAACCUGCUCCGACCUUCAAGAGUGGAUAGACCCUGAUGAAGCACUGAGGUCUAUUACUUCAUCUACAAUCAGGGAAACUCCAGGGCUUGCCAUAGAUGGCAGAACCAUGGCCUUGCCCUGCUCAGACAGGGUACAGCUCCUCUUCAUCAUCCGGAGACUCUGGAAGAGCUUAGAGCCUGACUCUUUGUGACCUGGAGCGUGCUGAGAACUUACACCUGGAACACUGUCAGCCUUUCUCUACCAGCUGGUACCCUCUGUCAACUCUCUCACUCCAGUUUCUACUCUCCCAUUUAAAAUGUUCCCACACAGUGAAUGAAAUUCCCCACUCUGCUUUUGGAAGGAGAGCAAAACAAGAACCAGAACAGAAAAAUCGACAGCCUUGUCAUCACUCCUGGCUCUGUAGGUGAUUGCUAAGGAUGGACCUGAGCUCUGCAGACUGGGACAGUAAGCAUUGUAUCAACGGAGCCACUUCCCCGGCUCCCUGAAUCUUAAUUCUUGGCGUUGUAGGUGUUAUGUUUCUCAGGAGAACCUCCUCUUGCCCAAGCCGGCUUAUCACUGGCUCAGGAGCUCACAAGAGCAGCUGACAGAAGACAAUGCCUAUGACAGGCAGAUAACUUCUCUUUCAGUCUGAUUCACUGACUUCCUUGAUCCAUUCAGGUCUCCUGAAGACUAUGGUCUUGGGCUCCUUGCUGCAAAAACUGCCAAGUCAUGAGAGUUGAGUCAUACAAAGUUGCACACAGGACUUGCCUGGCUCUGUAGGUGUGUUUGUCUUGCUGACAUGCCUCGUUGAAGACAAUUGAACUCCAUGCCAUAGCUCUGACCCCCCAAGGCCCAGGGUGGGAACCCCUAGCUGAAUCCAGCUCUUUUCUUCCAGGCACACUUGUAUUUCCAGACUCCUCAGAAUAAAGAGGCCUAGGGAAGAGAAAAAGAGCUAGAGUGCUUACGCAAGCGCAGAGACACGAAACCCAGAUUCCACCGAGUGCACAGUGGGAAGCAGGAGACGAGGCUGCCCACCGAACAGAUGCAAGUUUGCCGUGCUCCGGUUCAGCUGGGAACGUGAGCUGGAAAGCAGAGAUAAAUCACGUGGAACUUGCUGUCAUCCCUCUACCUUCCCGCUAAACCCUUCGACACCGUCGCUUCACUGGCUGAGGCCGCUGUAGUUUUUAAAUGAAGGCUGGGAACCAGCUUUGGCAGCGCCGCCUCAUUUUUCCGCUAAUACCUCUGUGAAUUCUGCGUUCGCAUCUGGCCAGUGCCAUCAUGCUGGGUAUGAUUAUAAUAGGCUGCUGCUCUUUCCCAAGCAGGAAGCGGGAGUCCUGUAACCGACAGCUUAAACAGAGGCUGCUUCCAAACACAACAAGCGGAUCACAGCCAGGGAAGGGGGCUGCAGUGCGGGACUUCUCCCAAGGCAUAAAAAAGGAGAGGGAGAGAGAGAGAGAGAGAAAUGUGUUAACUGUGCUAACAGUGCCAAGUAAUAUGCUUCGUUAAAAAUUUAAUCACCUACAAGUGCAAAGCAAGUGCAAGGCAAUCAUGUUGUAAUUAGCACAGCAAUUAACACCUCCCUUUUCGAUAGCACAUGCAUCCUAGGAAGGGCAGGAUUGCAAGUGUUUAUGCUGCUGACAAGCGAGGUUCCUAUAGAGAGGGGAGGAAAUGUUUGCCUAGAAUUUUUUGAUGUCUGACAUUUGGGUUGUGUGUCCACCGGAGUUGAGAACCCGCUGCUGUUUUGGCUGUGUGCUGAACAUCACCAAGGUCCCUGUUUUACAUUUUCUCAGAAGCCCCUUCCUGGUGUCACCUUCCCUUCCACGGCAUUAACGUGUACCUAAAUCUACGCCUUUCCACAUACACUGAGGCCUAAUCCGCCAAGCCCAUGAGCACUGCUGGUUUACUUGUGAAUGAUCCUUCCUACCAAAAAGAAAUGUCUUCCUUGGCCCUUCAUCAGAAACUAACCAAACACAAAACAGCAAGAAAGCCUCAAUGGAAAUUUCGCCCUAAUAUAAUUCCUUCUAUCUGACCUGAAAACUUGGGUCUCUCCUAUAUCAACAAGGUAGUGUCUGAGGGCUCGAGAGUCAGCCCUUCAGGCAGGGGAGGGUGAAGGAGCGUGGACCUUUCUAAAAUAGCACACAAAGUUCAAAUCCAAUAGCUGGCCUGGAGAGGAGGUUGCAACUCUGCUCUCAGGCACUGACUAGAAAGUGCCUACUUACAUGGCAGUGGGAUAUCCCAGAGAUCUCAAUGUAUAGAAGUUAAUGGAGGAAACCAAUGGGAAGCUAGAGUGAGUUAUUCUCACUCCACACACACACACAAACACACACACACACACACACACUGAACAAAGCAUCUUUGGGACUGGGGAUGUCACUCGGUGGGAGAGCACAUAAGUACUAACCAUGAAGGCCUACAUUCUAUCUUUAGCACACAAAUACAUAAAUAAUGUCCCCUAGGGGUGGGCCUAGGCCCUAUCCCAAAGGACAUGACAGACUGUGAAGACCCCCCUGUGGAAGGCCUCACCCUCCCUGGAGAGCAGAAAGGGUAUAGGAUAGGUAGGGUGUUAGCUGGGGGGGAGGGGGAGCAGAGGGAACUGGGAUUGACAUGUAAAAUAAUCUUGUUUCUAAUUUAAAUAAAAAUGAAGAAAAAGAAAAAAGUCAAAACUUUUAAAAAAUGACACAGACUAACAGAAAAAGUAAGUAAAAAUAAUGUCCCCUAGGUUCAAACCCCAAUGUUUAAAACAUAUGUUUUUUAAAAAGCAAUUAUCUUUGGUAGCCAGUUAUAGUAGUCACAUCUGUAAUUCCAGCACCUGGGAGGCUGAGACGGGGAUUUUCACAAGGUUGCAGUUAGUCUGGGCUACAUUGUAAGUUCCAAGCCAACCUAGGCGACAGUAUCAGACUGUCUCAAUGGAAGAGUGAAUGAACAAAAGAAAAUCUUCAACUUUCUGAUCUGUAUUUUGUCUCUACUUGGGCAGAUGAAAGCAUGCCCGGUCUGAGAUGCCAUUACCAGAAACUCACCCCAGACCUCCAAGGCCUUGGUGCUAUUUCAGACAUGAGUCACUGAGAAUGGAGUGUAGGUAGUGACUUAAAAACUUCCAGAGUGUUUGAAAGGAUUUGGGGGUUGUUUGUUGUUGUUGUUUUAAGGAACUUAGGAGACAUCCAGGUAUUGGCUUAAUUAAGAAUGUAAGAAAUACCAGGCAGUGGUAGUCCCUACCUUUAAUCCCAGCACUCAGGAGGCAGAGGCAGGUGGAUCUCUCAGUUCGAGACUGCCCUGGUCUACAGAGUGAGCUCCAGGACAGCCAGGACCACACAGAGAAACCCUGUCUCAACAAACAAAAACAAAAUACUCAGGAACACUAGACCUACAACUAUAGAGACUCCAGGCCCUAACUAAGCCCUCCCUAUGUGGGAGACAGUUGUGAAGCUUGGAUUAACUUAGGGGCCCCUGGCAGUAGGACCAUGAUACAAACCUGGUACAUAAGCUAGCUUGUUGGAGACCACUCCCUGUGGUGGGAUGCUAUGCUCAGUCUCAAUGCAUGGGACAGAGGCCUGGCCUUGCCCCAACCUAUUGCACCAG